rnacentral:rRNA from 1 species
AGAGCGAACGCUGGCGGCAGGCCUAAUACAUGCAAGUCGAGCGGUCCCUUCGGGGGCAGCGGCGGACGGGUGAGUAACGCGUGGGAACGUGCCCUUUGGUACGGAACAACUGAGGGAAACUUCAGCUAAUACCGUAUGUGCCCUUCGGGGGAAAGAUUUAUCGCCAUUGGAGCGGCCCGCGUUGGAUUAGGUAGUUGGUGAGGUAAAGGCUCGACCAAGCCUACGAUCCAUAGCUGGUCUGAGAGGAUGAUCAGCCACACUGGGACUGAGACACGGCCCAGACCUCCGUACGGGAGGCAGCAGUAGGGAAUCUGCGCAAGUGGGCAAAGCCUGACGCAGCCAUCGCCGCGUAGAAUCGAUGGAAGUCGUUAGAUUAGUAAAUUCUUACGACCGGG